GAUGAAGAACGUAGUGAAAUGCGAUAAGUAAUGCGAAUUGCAGAAUUUCCGUGAGUCACCGAAUCUUUGAACGCACAUUGCGCCCACUGGUAUUCCGGUGGGCAUGCCUGUUCGAGCGUCAUUAUCCUCCCUCAAACCUCUGUGUUUGGUGUUGGGCCGCGUUGGCGUCACAGCCAACUGGUCUCAAAGACAAUGACGGCGUCCGUGGGACCCUCUUCGCAACGAGCAUCUUCGGAAGCACGCGUCGAGUCUAAAGGACCUUCCGGGCCGGUCUACCCUUUAUCUUUCUAAGGUUGACCUCGGAUCAGGUAGGAAUACCCGCUGAACUUAAGCAUAUCAAUAAGCGGAGGA
rnacentral:misc_RNA from 1 species